GUUUAGGUAGUUUAUAAAAAUAAAAGUUUGUGGAGCUUUAGAAGCCUUUAAGGCCUUAGACA
rnacentral:tRNA from 1 species